rnacentral:rRNA from 1 species
ACCAGGGCAUGCUUAGUAGCGGCGAGUGAGCGGCAAAGCUCAAAUUUGGAAUCUGCCAGCAAUGGCCGAGUUGUAAUUUGUAGAUGGUAACUCUGUAAGGAGUCUUUGCUAAAGUUUCCUGGAAUGGAACAUCAUGGAGGGUGACAAUCCCGUGAGGCAUUGACGUACUUGCGUGUAGAGUGCUAUCAAAGAGUCGAGUUGUUUGGGAAUGCAGCUCAAAGUGGGUGGUAGACACCAUCUAAAGCUAAAUAUUGGCGAGAGACCGAUAGCGAAAAAGUACUGUGAAGGAAAGAUGAAAAGGACUUUGAAAAGAGGGUGAAAAAGAACGUGAAAUUGUUAAUAUGGAAGGGUAUAAAAUUAGACAUGAAGCUUUGAGUUCGGCAGUCUCUCGGGAUUGUUUUGUCUCUUUGCUUCGCACCAGCAUCAGUUUUGGCAGGAGGAUAAACAACAUGGAAUGUAGCUGCUUGCAGUGUUAUAGACUUGUUGCAUACUCUUCGCCGGGAUUGAGGUCAGCCUUGUAGGAUGCUGGGUAACUUU